rnacentral:rRNA from 1 species
GGCGGUGUGCUUCACACAUGCAAGUCGAACGGGGUAGCAAUACCCAGUGGCGGACGGGUGAGUAACGCGUGGGAAUCUGCCUUAAGAUGGGGGAUAGCUGGCCGAAAGGCUAAUUAAUACCGCAUAAGUGUAUAGCUCGACAGGGCUAUAUAUAAAAGGAGUAAUCCGUCUUAAGAUGAGCCCGCGUCCGAUUAGCUAGUUGGUAGGGUAACGGNCUACCAAGGNUACGAUCGGUAGGUGGUCCGAGAGGAUGAUCACCCACAAUGGAACUGAGACACGGUCCAUACUCCUACGGGAGGCAGCAGUGGGGAAUUUUACGCAAUGGGCGAAAGCCUGACGUANCGACACCGCGUGAGCGAAGAAGCCUUUUGGGGUGUAAAGCUCUGUCAGCUGGGACGAAACAAAUGACGGUACCAGCAGAGGAAGCAUCGGCUAACUACGUGCCANCAGCCGCGGUAAGACGUANGAUGCAAGCGUUGUCCGGAUUUAUUGGGCGU